GAGCGAAGGCAUGGAAGCCGCGUGUGCGGUGAGCGUGUGGACGGCCUGAGGCUCAGGCCCUGGAGCUCAAGCCGUGUUCACGGGGGCGCCCGACGGCGGAGCACGCCCGAGUGUACUUUGUACACCAUGGGUGCUCCACAAACAGGAAAGAACGGAUACAGACGUAUUUCUCUCCCCUUUUGCGGGGAAGGUGAGGACUAGACUCGGAGCCUCAGGCAGCGCCAGGCCUGUGAGCUUCUUCACAUCUAAGGGGUCAGCGUGGGUAUCCGAAGGUGGCCCUCGCUGAAGGAACCCUCUAAAACUUCGCCCGGCGUCGCAGAAAUGCUGGUGCUGAGACUGGGAUGAUGAUCCAACGCCAAGUCAGCACGACGGAAACGGAGCUCCUCCCGAAAGACGAAACGGGUUUACCGAGUCUUUGCCUCCCAGCAUUAGUCACACGCCACCUCCUCCUGAGGCCUGUGACCGUGUCUGCGGCAGGACAUCGAGGCUGCUUUUGGGGGAUGAAGGCGAGAUACGGGUUUGAGAAGCAGUUGUUUAUUUCUGUUGGUCGGACCUCAAGACAGUAUUUGUAAGACAACCUGGAAAUAAAGAUGUUUUGGACUCAGGAGCAACAAAAGUUAGGUUUGUGUGUUACAGGGUGACUGCAGGACAUUGGGACGUGUUUCCACAAGAUCCCUGCCAGGCUGGCAUUCGGUACCAGCACCAUCUCAAAACGUGCCUCAUACGCGGCUCAGAAUGACGACCUCCCCAGCCGAAGCGAGUCACUUAAUCAAAGAGAGAAGCUGGAAAACAACUGCAUCUGGGGGAAAGCUCUGGCAACUGCCAACGGAAGAGGCUCAUCAGAGCGUGAGCGGUGAUCGUGACACAGGUGACGAGAACCCCCCCGUCAGGCCUCCCAGGACGGCUGUGCCAUCACCACACGGAAGCACCUUCUCGGACCAUCUCCUCCAACCUCCACCACCCCACACAGAAGGGACGAGCAGGUCUCCACGACAGCUGGGGCACUGGGGGAGCAGGUGAGAGGCUCCCACAGCAGUUCAGAUCUAAAGAAAGAUAUGCCAAAGAAAUUACCCCGUCAAACGCCAGCUGCAACAGAGGAGACGCCAAAGUGACAGAAAGCCCCACUCCUUGCCUCCCACCCGAGUUUUCCCAA
ensembl:lncRNA